ACCCUAGAGCGGCGAACGGGUGAGUAACGCGUACGAAACCUACCUUUAAGAGAGGAAUAGCCCUGGGAAACUGGGAGUAAUGCCUCAUAGUAUUCAUUUACCACAUGGUUUAAGGAUUAAAGCUACGGCGCUUAAAGAUGGUCGUGCGUCUGAUUAGCUAGUUGGUAGGGUAACGGCCUACCAAGGCUACGAUCAGUAGGGGGCGUGAGAGCGUGGCCCCCCACACGGGUACUGAGACACGGACCCGACUCCUACGGGAGGCAGCAGUAAGGAAUAUUGGGCAAUGGACGCAAGUCUGACCCAGCCAUCCCGCGUGCAGGACGAAUGCCCUAUGGGUUGUAAACUGCUUUUGUUUGGGAAGAAAUGUAUUCUUUUAAGAGUAUUUGACGGUACCAGACGAAUAAGCACCGGCUAACUCCGUGCCAGCAGCCGCGGUAAUACGGAGGGCGCAAGCGUUAUCCGGAAUCACUGGGUUUAAAGGGUGCGUAGGCGGCCAGAUAAGUCAGAGGUGAAAGUUUCCGGCUCAACCGGGAGAUUGCCUUUGAUACUGUUUGGCUUGAAUCAGAUUGAGGUUGGCGGAAUGUGACAUGUAGCGGUGAAAUGCAUAGAUAUGUCAUAGAACAUCGAUUGCGAAGGCAGCUGGCUGGAUCUGUAUUGACGCUGAGGCACGAAAGCGUGGGGAGCAAACAGGAUUAGAUAC
rnacentral:rRNA from 1 species